CCUACGGGAGGCAGCAGUGGGGAAUCUUGGACAAUGGGGGCAAGCCUGACCCAGCGACGCCGCGUGAGUGAAGAAGUCUUUCGGGUUGUAAACUUCUUUUAUCAGGGACGAAGCAAGUGACGGUACCUGACGAAUAAGCCACGGCUAACUACGUGCCAGCAGCCGCGGUAAUACGUAGGUGGCAAGCGUUAUCCGGAUUUACUGGGUGUAAAGGGCGUGUAGGCGGGGAUGCAAGUCAGAUGUGAAAGCCACGGGCGCAACCCGUGGACUGCUUUUGAAACUGUAUGGCUGGAGUACUGGAGAGGUAGAUGGAAUUCCUAGUGUAGCGGUGAAAUGCGUAGAUAUUAGGAGGAACACCAGUGGCGAAGGCGGUUUGCUGGACAGUAACUGACGUUGAGGCGCGAAAGCGUGGGGAGCAAACAGGAUUAGAUACCCCGGUAGUC
rnacentral:rRNA from 1 species